GGGAUUAGUGGCGAACGGGUGAGUAACACGUGAGUAACCUGCCCUUGACUCUGGGAUAAGCCUGGGAAACUGGGUCUAAUACCGGAUAUGACUCCUCAUCGCAUGGUGGGGGGUGGAAAGCUUUUGUGGUUUUGGAUGGACUCGCGGCCUAUCAGCUUGUUGGUGGGGUAAUGGCCUACCAAGGCGACGACGGGUAGCCGGCCUGAGAGGGUGACCGGCCACACUGGGACUGAGACACGGCCCAGACUCCUACGGGAGGCAGCAGUGGGGAAUAUUGCACAAUGGGCGCAAGCCUGAUGCAGCGACGCCGCGUGAGGGAUGACGGCCUUCGGGUUGUAAACCUCUUUCAGUAGGGAAGAAGCGUAAGUGACGGUACCUGCAGAAGAAGCGCCGGCUAACUACGUGCCAGCAGCCGCGGUAAUACGUAGGGCGCAAGCGUUAUCCGGAAUUAUUGGGCGUAAAGAGCUCGUAGGCGGUUUGUCGCGUCUGCUGUGAAAGACCGGGGCUCAACUCCGGUUCUGCAGUGGGUACGGGCAGACUAGAGUGCAGUAGGGGAGACUGGAAUUCCUGGUGUAGCGGUGAAAUGCGCAGAUAUCAGGAGGAACACCGAUGGCGAAGGCAGGUCUCUGGGCUGUAACUGACGCUGAGGAGCGAAAGCAUGGGGAGCGAACAGGAUUAGAUACCCUGGUAGUCCAUGCCGUANACGUUGGGCACUAGGUGUGGGGGACAUUCCACGUUUUCCGCGCCGUAGCUAACGCAUUAAGUGCCCCGCCUGGGGAGUACGGCCGCAAGGCUAAAACUCAAAGGAAUUGACGGGGGCCCGCACAAGCGGCGGAGCAUGCGGAUUAAUUCGAUGCAACGCGAAGAACCUUACCAAGGCUUGACAUGAACCGGAAAGGCCUGGAAACAGGUGCCCCGCUUGCGGUCGGUUUACAGGUGGUGCAUGGUUGUCGUCAGCUCGUGUCGUGAGAUGUUGGGUUAAGUCCCGCAACGAGCGCAACCCUCGUUCUAUGUUGCCAGCGGUUCGGCCGGGGACUCAUAGGAGACUGCCGGGGUCAACUCGGAGGAAGGUGGGGACGACGUCAAAUCAUCAUGCCCCUUAUGUCUUGGGCUUCACGCAUGCUACGAUGGCCGGUACAAAGGGUUGCGAUACUGUGAGGUGGANNNAAUCCCAAAAAGCCGGUCUCAGUUCGGAUUGGGGUCUGCAACUCGACCCCAUGAAGUCGGAGUCGCUAGUAAUCGCAGAUCAGCAACGCUGCGGUGAAUACGUUCCCGGGCCUUGUCACACCGCCCGUCAAGUCACGAAAG
rnacentral:rRNA from 1 species